rnacentral:snoRNA from 1 species
UAACAUGAUGACUAAGUUGUCGCCCCAAGCGGAUCUUUGAAAUGACUGAUUUUACAAACAACAAACAACUGAAAAUUCUGAAA